rnacentral:rRNA from 1 species
UACAGAGGGGGCAAGCGUUGUUCGGAAUUACUGGGCGUAAAGGGCGCGUAGGCGGCCUGUUAAGUCGAACGUGAAAUCCCCGGGCUCAACCCGGGAACUGCGUCCGAUACUGGCAGGCUUGAAUCCGGGAGAGGGAUGUGGAAUUCCAGGUGUAGCGGUGAAAUGCGUAGAUAUCUGGAGGAACACCGGUGGCGAAGGCGGCAUCCUGGACCGGUAUUGACACUGAUGAGCGAAAGCCAGGGGAGCAAACGGG